AGCAGUAGCCGCGGUAAAACGGAGGGUGCAAGCGUUAAUCGGAAUUACUGGGCGUAAAGCGCACGCAGGCGGUCUGACAAGUCAGAUGUGAAAUCCCCGGGCUUAACCUGGGAACUGCAUUUGAAACUGUCAGGCUGGAGUCUUGUAGAGGGGGGUAGAAUUCCAGGUGUAGCGGUGAAAUGCGUAGAGAUCUGGAGGAAUACCGGUGGCGAAGGCGGCCCCCUGGACAAAGACUGACGCUCAGGUGCGAAAGCGUGGGGAGCAAACAGGAUUAGAUACCCCAGUAGUCCCUGUCUCUUAUAC
rnacentral:rRNA from 1 species